CCGCCCCCCACAACCCCUGCUUUCCAAGCCUUCCUUUCCUCAGAUGGACAUAAACCAUGCUUUGCCUGUUGCCUUAGCACCCCAAAUACGUAGCGGUCUGAGACCCCGGUUCUUGGAAAGCUUGACAACAGGCAGAAACAAGACUUGAUCCCAGACAGCUCAAAGCAGACUGGCUUUUCCUAGAGGCUCAGGUGUGGAGCCCUUCUCCACCUGCCCUGGCUGGGACUGCAGGAACUGUCAUCUUCCUCAUCUUGUAGCUGCUAGCCUCACAGAUAAGAUCAUCCCUGAGACAAGAGGAUAACCUUCACUGCAGCGCUUUAGCUGGCAAAAGCUCUGACUCAAAACAGUAAUUUCCAUCAGGGGAGAAAAGAUAAGGUUUGGUCACUUCUAAUCUCCACGAGAGGAUGUUCACGCUCCAGUGUCUUUCUGUGAACAGGCUGCUUGACAUUUCUCAUCAUGGGGCUUGCUCACAAUCAGCUGUGCUGCUGCUUUCUGAAUGAAAAAGGGCGAGUGUGAGACAGGUUGGUUGGUAGGAGGAUGAAAUAACAUGAAAGCACAGCCUCGUUGCUCCAUUGAACCUGCUGACUGAAACAACUUUAAACACAAAGCCUCGCGUGUUGCAAUCCUGCGGACACCUCCUUGUGAGAGGAGGUGGAUCUGUGUGAGAAAUGUCCACACUCUCAAUGGAGCCAAACAGCAGUAGCGUUUCCAGGAAGCUGUGAGAAGAGGCGUGGGAAACGGGGUCUGCACGGAGCGCCCGGAGGAAAAGGGCCCGGAAGGAAGAGCUGCGCUUUAGUGUCUGCGCCAGCCUCCGCAGCGUCACAUAGGUAACAAGCUGGACUUGCAAUGGGCAUCUGAAGUAAAGACAUUCUUGCGGGCUUGAGCCCUUAACCCGUGGGAUCUGAUGCUAACUCCAGGGAGACAGUGUUGGAAUGGAGUUAAAUUACAGCUGGUAUUGCAGAAUUGCUUGAUGUGUGGAAAACUGCUGCGUCUGGUGUCGGUAACACUGAAGAUGUCCUGUUGAUCAGUGGACUUUACUUCCUGAGACAUGCUACAACCCGUAUCUAUCCACCACAACCAGCAGCAGAGGUGACACAGAAGCCGCUCCCAAGACAGGACUAGCCAGGCCUCGGAUAACUGCAAAAGUUCCUCACCUUGAGGGUGUCCAGAUUUCCUAAGCACGCUGCUGAGAAGAACAGGUCUACAGGGGCACAAUGAAGCCUUCCUCAGUCGUGACUCCCAGUGAGCAUACAGACUCCCUGAGCUCUCCCUUUCUGCCUGUAUACAGGGCACACGCCCUAGAAAUCAUUACCAGCUUGAGAAGACACAUUUAGACUUUGUGCUUUUUUUGAAGGAAAGGUAUACUUUCAAGCUCCUUUCUUUGUUUUCAGUAACAUGCAGUAGCACUGAGAUGGAAAAUCUACUUCUGGAGGCUCUGAGAACUUUUAAGAAUUUGGGGGAGAGAAGUCUGACCUCCACUGGGUAUUAACCAACUAAGCAAAAAUACUCCCCAUUUGUAUUUCUACGUGCCCCCCCCCCUUUCUACAAUCUGCAGAAAAGACUGCCAAAAGCAUUAGUGCUCUUAGCCAGCUUGAAGGAGAACACACCAUCACCCAGACUGGGUGCAGGUCACACCUGCUCCCAUCCCCACUCCGUGCUGAGCAGGGCUCUAAACAGUCCUGUCACAGUAACUUUCCUCUUGUUAUUCGGCCAACAACAAGCAAUUACGUGUCACAACUGACGUCAGCCAGCCUCCCAGACUGACGUCGGCAGGCUGUGUCACAGGCCUCAGCGUUAAAGCUGCUCCUGCCCUUGAGGAGACAUGCAGUGGGCUGUGCAUGUAACUGAGUUCUUGGGUCUGCAAAGCCUUGGGCUGGGGAACGAGCAGGACUUGCACAGACACACAGCAGCCCUCAGGGUGCCCUAUGGCCAGUUGUCAGCAGAGCAGUCAGGAUGGGGAGGAGUGGGGGUGGGCCAAAUGCCUGCUUCCUUUCAUCCUCCAAGUUCUGUAACCCACAACCAGAAGUUACGUAGAUCUUGGGGGCCUCUUUCCUACUCUCAGAGGCUGGAUAAAUGUUCUAUCUUCACCACUUUGCAGGCUCUGAUGAUGAUGAGAUAUGGUGAAAGAAGAGUAUCUUGAAAUGUGUUGGAGUGAUACUCUGUGAUUCGGUUUCAGCGACCAGCCUCUAUAGUUACCCUCCUGGCUUUCACCUGUGCCCCAGGACCUAUAGCUCUUUUGGAGGAGAACAUAAACCUGGUUACUUGUGUGCAGGAACUUUACACAGAACGCAGCCACAGGACAGAGGUAAAGACCUGGGAUGCCAUGCACUCUGAUGGGGUGACAGGAAGAGAGAGCUGGUCAGCACUAUGUGGAAGUGCUCCUUACCCAACUGUGAUCUCCAGCUGAUUGCUCCAAGGCUGGCUGCCAUGAGCUGCCUACCUCCUAGGACCCUAUCACUUAGGGGAAACCAGGGGAUAGAGUAUUUCUCUGAUCCUUUUUCUGUACCCAAUACCUUCAAGCCUCAAACCCCUCACAGUGGGUGAAAAUGCCUCCACUUUUCUGACCCCCUCUCCUUUCUUUCUUUGAAAAAUGUAUACCAUUUAGCUUAAGUUUUGCAUACUCUUAAUACUGAGGAAAGAAAGGAAAUCACGAAGUGUGUACCUACAUGCCACUGCCUCAGCCACUGACUACAGGAGUAGCUUAAUUACGGGUUGUUUAAUGAUCUUUAGUAUAAGUGGGGGAAUAAAAAUCACAAAAUCUUUAAGAUUAAUAAAA